UACGUAGGGUGCGAGCGUUGUCCGGAAUUAUUGGGCGUAAAGAGCUCGUAGGCGGUUUGUUGCGUCUAUCGUGAAAACCUGCAGCUUAACUGUGGGCUUGCGGGCGAUACGGGCAGGCUAGAGUUCGGUAGGGGAGACUGGAAUUCCUGGUGUAGCGGUGAAAUGCGCAGAUAUCAGGAGGAACACCGGUGGCGAAGGCGGGUCUCUGGGCCGAUACUGACGCUGAGGAGCGAAAGCGUGGGGAGCGAACAGG
rnacentral:rRNA from 1 species